rnacentral:rRNA from 1 species
UACGGAGGGGGUUAGCGUUGUUCGGAAUGACUGGGCGUAAAGCGCGCGUAGGCGGGCUGGAAAGUUGGGGGUGAAAUCCCGGGGCUCAACCCCGGAAUGGCCUUCAAAACUCCCAGCCUAGAGUUCGAGAGAGGUGAGUGGAAUUCCGAGUGUAGAGGUGGAAUUCGUAGAUAUUCGGAGGAACACCAGUGGCGAAGGCGGCUCACUGGCUCGACACUGACGCUGAGGUGCGAAAGCGUGGGGAGCAAACAGG